GAGUUUGAUCAUGGCUCAGGAUGAACGCUGGCGGCGUGCCUAACACAUGCAAGUCGAACGGAUCCAUAUUGAAACCUAGUGAUGUAUGGAUUAGUGGCGGACGGGUGAGUAACGCGUGGAUAACCUGCCGUAUACAGGGGGAUAACACUUAGAAAUAGGUGCUAAUACCGCAUAAGCGCACGGUUCCGCAUGGAACAGUGUGAAAAACUCCGGUAGUAUACGAUGGAUCCGCGUCUGAUUAGCCAGUUGGCGGGGUAACGGCCCACCAAAGCGACGAUCAGUAGCCGGCCUGAGAGGGUGAACGGCCACAUUGGGACUGAGACACGGCCCAAACUCCUACGGGAGGCAGCAGUGGGGAAUAUUGCACAAUGGGGGAAACCCUGAUGCAGCGACGCCGCGUGAGUGAAGAAGUAUCUCGGUACGUAAAGCUCUAUCAGCAGGGAAGAAAAUGACGGUACCUGACUAAGAAGCCCCGGCUAACUACGUGCCAGCAGCCGCGGUAAUACGUAGGGGGCAAGCGUUAUCCGGAUUUACUGGGUGUAAAGGGAGCGUAGACGGCAGCGCAAGUCUGGAGUGAAAUGCCGGGGCCCAACCCCGGAACUGCUUUGGAAACUGUGCAGCUCGAGUGCAGGAGAGGUAAGCGGAAUUCCUAGUGUAGCGGUGAAAUGCGUAGAUAUUAGGAGGAACACCAGUGGCGAAGGCGGCUUACUGGACUGUAACUGACGUUGAGGCUCGAAAGCGUGGGGAGCAAACAGGAUUAGAUACCCUGGUAGUCCACGCCGUAAACGAUGAUUACUAGGUGUCGGGGAGCCAAGGCUCUCCGGUGCCGGCGCAAACGCAUUAAGUAAUCCACCUGGGGAGUACGUUCGCAAGAAUGAAACUCAAAGGAAUUGACGG
rnacentral:rRNA from 1 species